rnacentral:lncRNA from 1 species
CAACUUCAUUCAAGAAAAUUCUGGUGUUGUUCCUUCGAGACAAAUUCCUCUCGUCGCAGACAGGAGCUACCCGGAAAGUAUGCCCAGUGAUGUUCAGCAUAUAUAAGAAGAUUUGUUUGUUGGUUAGUGCUAAGUAUGAACUGUGACUCUUCCACUGCAUUUCCAGGAUGGCAGGCUGAUGUCAAUGCCAAAUCCAAGCCAUGGACAAUGAUGUCGAUAGAUACUGUAUAUGUCACAAAUGAGACAUAAGAAUACAUUUACUCAGUGCAUGAGUUAAACCUGACAAAAUGCAACAACAAGCAGUUUCCAAGACUACUUACCACCACACCACGUCUCCCAUGAUGCGUCGGCUUACAGCAAACAUCUUAUACACUGCAAGAAAGAUCAAAAUUGUACGAUAAACUUCAAACUCAAAAACUCAAAUUAACCAACAAAAAAAAGUUAACGAGUUCGAUGAUACAGAAAGUAUUAACUAUUAAACAAAUCAUCAUGCAGUGAGAUCGGGUUGCAAAGCAAAACCAGGAAGAACACAAAGAACGCAGAGCCGCCAGUGUGUGUUGGGUAAGGAUUCAAGAUGAUGGACAAUACAUUACACAAGACAAAAU